UCGUGGGGCAGCGCAGUGUAGCAAUACAUGGGCGGCGACCGGCAAACGGGUGCGGAACACGUACACAACCUUCCUACAAGUGGGGAAUAGCCCAGAGAAAUUUGGAUUAAUACCCCGUAACAUAUAAAGAUGGCAUCAUUUUUAUAUUAUAGCUACGGCGCUUGUUGAUGGGUGUGCGGCUGAUUAGGUAGUUGGCGGGGUAAUGGCCCACCAAGCCUGCGACCAGUAGCUGAUGUGAGAGCAUGAUCAGCCACACGGGCACUGAGACACGGGCCCGACUCCUACGGGAGGCAGCAGUAAGGAAUAUUGGACAAUGGGCGCAAGCCUGAUCCAGCCAUGCCGCGUGAAGGAUUAAGGUCCUCUGGAUUGUAAACUUCUUUUAUAAGGGACGAAAAAAGGGAAUUCUUUCUCACUUGACGGUACCUUAUGAAUAAGCACCGGCUAACUCCGUGCCAGCAGCCGCGGUAAUACGGAGGGUGCAAGCGUUAUCCGGAUUCACUGGGUUUAAAGGGUGCGUAGGCGGGUAUUUAAGUCAGUGGUGAAAUCCUAGAGCUUAACUCUAGAACUGCCAUUGAUACUAUUUAUCUUGAAUAUUGUGGAGGUAAGCGGAAUAUGUCAUGUAGCGGUGAAAUGCUUAGAUAUGACAUAGAACACCUAUUGCGAAGGCAGCUUACUACGCAUAUAUUGACGCUGAGG
rnacentral:rRNA from 1 species